GCCCGAUUAGCUCAGCUGGUUAGAGCGUCGUACUAAUAUUAUUCCCUUAAAAAAGGAGAAAUAUCAAGUCCAUGCGAAGGUCAACAGUUCAAUCCUGUUAUUGGGCA